GGUUAAGUGACUAAGCGUACACGGUGGAUGCCUAGGCAGUCAGAGGCGAUGAAGGACGUAUUAACUUGCGAUAAGCGUAGAUGAGGCAGUAAAAGCCACUCGAGUCUACGAUUUCCGAAUGGGGAAACCCAAGUGCAUAAGCACUUAUCGCUGCGUGAAUACAUAGCGCAGCGAGGCAAACCGGGGGAACUGAAACAUCUAAGUACCCCGAGGAGAAGAAAUCAACCGAGAUUCCGAAAGUAGCGGCGAGCGAAAUUGGAUUAGCCCUUAAGCUUUAUUGGUGUCAGGCGAAGUGCUCUGGAAAGGCACGCGAUACCGGGUGAUAGCCCCGUAGCCGUUAACGCCAGUAAAGUGAAAUCGAGUAGGGCGGGACACGUGAUAUCCUGUCUGAAUAUGGGGGGACCAUCCUCCAAGGCUAAAUACUCCUGACUGACCGAUAGUGAACCAGUACCGUGAGGGAAAGGCGAAAAGAACCCCUGUGAGGGGAGUGAAAUAGAACCUGAAACCGUGUACGUACAAGCAGUAGGAGCCUCUUUAAUGGGGUGACUGCGUACCUUUUGUAUAAUGGGUCAGCGACUUAUAUUCAGUGGCAAGGUUAACCAAAUAGGGGAGCCGUAGGGAAACCGAGUCUUAACUGGGCGUUCAGUCUCUGGAUAUAGACCCGAAACCGGGUGAUCUAGCCAUGGGCAGGUUGAAGGUUGAGUAACAUCAACUGGAGGACCGAACCGACUAAUGUUGAAAAAUUAGCGGAUGACUUGUGGCUAGGGGUGAAAGGCCAAUCAAACUCGGAGAUAGCUGGUUCUCCCCGAAAGCUAUUUAGGUAGCGCCUCGGACGAAUACUACUGGGGGUAGAGCACUGUUAAGGCUAGGGGGUCAUCCCGACUUACCAACCCUUUGCAAACUCCGAAUACCAGUAAGUACUAUCCGGGAGACACACGGCGGGUGCUAACGUCCGUCGUGAAGAGGGAAACAACCCAGACCGCCAGCUAAGGUCCCAAAGUAUUGCUAAGUGGGAAACGAUGUGGGAAGGCUUAGACAGCUAGGAUGUUGGCUUAGAAGCAGCCAUCAUUUAAAGAAAGCGUAAUAGCUCACUAGUC
rnacentral:ncRNA from 1 species